GAUCGGGUCUGUGGUGAUUUGGCCGGCCGGCUUGCAGCCACGUUAAACAAAUCGCUAAAUGGGCCGAGGAACAGAUCAA
rnacentral:ncRNA from 2 species